rnacentral:rRNA from 1 species
AGGACGAACGCUGGCGGCGCGCUUAACACAUGCAAGUCGAGCGAGAACCAGUCCUUCGGGACUGGGAAAGCGGCGAACGGGUGAGUAACACGUGGGUAAUCAACCCUCAGUACCGGGAUAGCCCGAGGAAACUCGGAUUAAUACCGGAUGGCCCAACAGCUCUUCGGGGCGGUUGGAAAAGGUAGCUUCGGCCUCCGACUGAGGACGAGCCCGCGGCGGAUUAGCUUGUUGGCGGGGUAAUGGCCCACCAAGGCGACGAUCCGUAGCUGGUCUGAGAGGACGAUCAGCCACACUGGGACUGAGACACGGCCCAGACUCCUACGGGAGGCAGCAGUGGGGAAUAUUGGACAAUGGGCGAAAGCCUGAUCCAGCCAUGCCGCGUGAGUGAUGAAGGCCUUAGGGUUGUAAAGCUCUUUUGCCCGGGAAGAUAAUGACGGUACCGGGAGAAUAAGCCCCGGCUAACUUCGCGCCAGCAGCCGC